GGAUGGGUGGCCGAGUGGUCUAUGGCAGCGGUCUUGAAAACCGCCAGCCCGCAAGGGCUCGUGGGUUCGAAUCCCACCCCAUCCGCCA
rnacentral:tRNA from 1 species